UACGUAGGGUGCAAGCGUUGUCCGGAAUUAUUGGGCGUAAAGAGCUCGUAGGCGGUUUGUCGCGUCUGCUGUGAAAACUCGGGGCUUAACUCCGGGCCUGCAGUGGGUACGGGCAGACUAGAGUGCGGUAGGGGAGACUGGAAUUCCUGGUGUAGCGGUGAAAUGCGCAGAUAUCAGGAGGAACAUCGGUGGCGAAGGCGGGUCUCUGGGCCGUAACUGACGCUGAGGAGCGAAAGCGUGGGGAGCGAACAGG
rnacentral:rRNA from 1 species